rnacentral:rRNA from 1 species
UACGAAGGGUGCAAGCGUUAUUCGGAAUCAUUGGGCGUAUAGGGUGCGCAGGCGGCAUAUUAAGUCAACUGUUAAAUCCCCCGGCCUAACCGGGGAUCAGCAGUAGAUACUGGUGUGCUAGAGGAUGGAAGAGAGAAGUGGAAUUCUUGGAGUAGCGGUAAAAUGCGUAGAUCUCAAGAGGAACACCAAUGGCGAAGGCAGCUUCUUGGUCCAUUCCUGACGCUCAUGCACGAAAGCGUGGGGAGCAAACAGG